UGGGGAAUAUUGGACAAUGGGGGCAACCCUGAUCCAGCAAUACCGCGUGUGUGAAGAAGGCCUGCGGGUUGUAAAGCACUUUCAGUAGGGAGGAGAGGCUCGGUGCUAAUACCAUCGAGCGGAGACGUUACCUACAGAAGAAGCACCGGCUAACUCUGUGCCAGCAGCCGCGGUAAUACAGAGGGUGCAAGCGUUAAUCGGAAUUACUGGGCGUAAAGCGUGCGCAGGCGGUUUGGUAAGACAGAUGUGAAAUCCCCGGGCUUAACCUGGGAACUGCAUUUGUGACUGCCAGACUAGAGUGUAGCAGAGGGGGGUAGAAUUCCACGUGUAGCAGUGAAAUGCGUAGAUAUGUGGAGGAAUACCGAUGGCGAAGGCAGCCCCCUGGGCUAACACUGACGCUCAUGCACGAAAGCGUGGGGAGCAAACAGGAUUAGAUACCCACGUAGUCCCUGAGCGGGCUGGCAAGGCGCAU
rnacentral:rRNA from 1 species